rnacentral:misc_RNA from 1 species
CCAGCACAGCAGCAAUGCGUCGAGCCGCUCUUCUAUGUGCGCCCAAGGCCUUCUCGGCACCGGCGGUCACCCAGGCACUUCAGUCGCUCCCGGGUUGGAGGGUGAACGGCAACAACCAAAACGCCAUCGAGCGGGACUAUGUCUUUGCCGACUUCGCAGAGGCGAUGCGCUACAUGAACACUGUCGCGCCCGUUUGUGAAAAGAUGCAGCACCAUCCGCGCUGGUCAAACGUCUACAACCGCCUGCACGUGCAGCUGACGACGCACGACGCCGGCAACAAGGUGACGCAGGCGGACGUGGAUCUGGCAAAGGCCAUGAACGCGGCGUACGAAGCGAUGCGCGCGCAUUGAGCUGUGGAGGUACAGCAGAGGGCACAAGGAAAAAAAAAAAUAGGUUGAUCGCAUCACAGUCGUGGAAGCUGUGCAAGCCAUGUACCAUGUAUUCGCUCGCUUUCUCUCCGCCUCUUCGUAGACUCUGUCCGGCCAAGGGUCACUGCCCAGCAGCGGUGCACCCACGAGUGCUGCCGCGAAAAGACGUUCAUGGAGCGGCAGCUACGUGCAGCAGUGGUAUAGGCGUCUCAAACAGCUGCCCUGGCACACACACAGACGCCCAUGAAUGCCUGUGAAUUCUCCUCUUCCUUCACUGCUCUUUUCUUGCUCACCGCAUUCUGUGUCCGUGUGCGUGUGUCUCCCCUCAG